rnacentral:tRNA from 1 species
GGUAAAAUGGCUGAGGUAGGCAUUGAACUGUAAAUUCAAAGACAGA